rnacentral:lncRNA from 1 species
UGAAGGCGCGUCCCUGCGCUGCGCGGGGUGGGGAGGUUACCUUCCUCUUCGCCCUGUUCUCUUGUACGGAGACCACGGAUGGUUGGAAGCGGCAGCGCCUUCUUCCGUGUUUCGAGCCACCUCAGUCUCAUGUCUGUGCUCUUUUAUCUGCCCGUGUUGUUCCUUACGCUUCCACACAACAUCAGCGUACACCUGAUGUGACCCCAGUCUUUGAUUUUGGGGGCUUAGCACUAGGUACAAGGAGUUCUUCAUUUCCACUGCUGCCUUUUUUCUCUUACCGUGUGCAUGACAGUUGUAUUUUCCAGGCUUUUUAGCAUCUGGAGCACCGUGGGAUAAAAUCGCCCACGAUAUAGCCUUCCCUUUCAGCGACAUGCUUCCACUUGUGAAUGUGGCUCCAGCUGUCUAGGAGAAAGGGCAGCAAAGACUGUAAGUGCAGUUCGGUUGCCUAAAUGUACAUGAGUGAGUGCUGUUUGAGAUGCCCUAGUUUCCCCUGGUCUCCACCUGCUGCUGGAGUACUGUGUGAGCCAUCUGUGUCAUAUCUGCCAGCCCUGGGGAUGUCCUGGAUGCCCUAUAGAUGACCAUGAAUGUCUGCAUUUAGGCUGUGUGACAAAGUGCUGCUGGUGGACUUUGGAGGUUGCAUUUCAGCAUGACACAACUGUUCUGAGCACCACAAGUGGGCCACCUGUAUUGCUGUGAUGGCCACUGGCCACUACCUCUCUGGACUCUUCUACCAAUGUACCUGCAGGAUGUAACGGUUAGGACUGAUUCCAGCCUGCAUACAGCAGAAAACCAAAGUUUCACAAUCUUGAUGAGAAAAAAGAUCUUUCCUGGAAAUGAUCACAGAAUCACAGAAUGGUUGAAGUUGGAAGGGACCUUUAGAGAUCAUCUAGUCCAACCCUCCUGCUCAAGCAGGAUCAUCUAGAGCAGGUUGUCCAGGACUGUGUCCAGACGGCUUCUGAGUAUCUGCAAGGAUGGAGACUCCACAACCUCUCUGGGCAACCUGUUCCAGUGCUCCGUCACCCGCAAGGUAAAGAGGUUUUUCCUUAUGUUCAGAUGAGACUUCCUGUGUUUCAGUGUGUGCUCGUUGCCUCUCGUCCUGUCGCCGGGCAGCACUGAGCAGAGUCUGGCCCCAUCCUCUUUAUACCCUCCCUUCAGAUAUUUAUGCACGUUGAUAAGAUCCCUCUUUAGUCUUCUCUUCACCAGGUUAGACAGUUCCAGCUUUCUGAUGGCUAAUAAACAAGUUAUUAAUGUAGUCUACGCA